rnacentral:rRNA from 1 species
AACGAACGCUGGCGGCAUGCCUAACACAUGCAAGUCGAACGAGACCUUCGGGUCUAGUGGCGCACGGGUGCGUAACGCGUGGGAACCUGCACUUAGGUUCGGAAUAACUCCCCGAAAGGGGUGCUAAUACCGGAUAAUGUCUUCGGACCAAAGAUUUAUCGCCUUUGGAUGGGCCUGCGUUGGAUUAGCUAGUUGGUAGGGUAAAAGCCUACCAAGGCGACGAUCCUUAGCUGGUCUGAGAGGAUGAUCAGCCACACUGGGACUGAGACACGGCCCAGACUCCUACGGGAGGGAGCAGUGGGGAAUAUUGGACAAUGGGCGAAAGCCUGAUCCAGCAAUGCCGCGUGAGUGAUGAAGGCCUUAGGGUUGUAAAGCUCUUUUACCCGGGAUGAUAAUGACAGUACCGGGAGAAUAAGCACCGGCUAACUCCGUG